rnacentral:rRNA from 1 species
GACGAACGCUGGCGGCGUGCCUAAUACAUGCAAGUAGAACGCUGAAGAGAGGAGCUUGCUCUUCUUGGAUGAGUUGCGAACGGGUGAGUAACGCGUAGGUAACCUGCCUGGUAGCGGGGGAUAACUAUUGGAAACGAUAGCUAAUACCGCAUAAAAUUGCUUAUUGCAUGAUACUUAAUUGAAAGAUGCAACUGCAUCACUACCAGAUGGACCUGCGUUGUAUUAGCUAGUUGGUGAGGUAACGGCUCACCCAGGCGACGAUACAUGGCCGACCUGAGAGGGUGAUAGGCCACAAUGGGACUGAGACACGGCCCAGACUCCUACGGGAGGCAGCAGUAGGGAAUAUUCGGCAAUGGGGGGAACCCUGAACGAGCAACGCCGCGUGAGUGAAGAAGGUUUUCGGAUCGGAAAGCUCUGUUGUAAGAGAAGAACGGGUGUGAGAGUGGAAAGUUCACACUGUGACGGUAUCUUACCAGAAAGGGACGGCUAACUACGUG